UGCUAGACUCCUACGGGAGGCAGCAGUGGGGAAUAUUGGGCAAUGGGCGCAAGCCUGACCCAGCAACGCCGCGUGAAGGAAGAAGGCUUUCGGGUUGUAAACUUCUUUUGACAGGGAAGAGCAGAAGACGGUACCUGUCGAAUAAGCCACGGCUAACUACGUGCCAGCAGCCGCGGUAAUACGUAGGUGGCAAGCGUUGUCCGGAUUUACUGGGUGUAAAGGGCAUGCAGCCGGAGAGACAAGUCAGGUGUGAAAUCCGCAGGCUCAACCUGCGAACUGCAUUUGAAACUGUUUCCCUUGAGUAUCGGAGAGGUCAUCGGAAUUCCUAGUGUAGCGGUGAAAUGCGUAGAUAUUAGGAGGAACACCAGUGGCGAAGGCGGCCUGCUGGACGACAACUGACGGUGAGGCGCGAAAGCGUGGGGAGCAAACAGGAUUAGAUACCCGAGUA
rnacentral:rRNA from 1 species